rnacentral:rRNA from 1 species
UACGUAGGGUGGCAAGCGUUGUCCGGAAUUAUUGGGCGUAAAGAGCUCGUAGGCGGUCUGUCGCGUCUGCUGUGAAAACUCGGGGCUUAACCCCGGGCCUGCAGUGGGUACGGGCAGACUAGAGUGCGGUAGGGGAGACUGGAAUUCCUGGUGUAGCGGUGAAAUGCGCAGAUAUCAGGAGGAACACCGGUGGCGAAGGCGGGUCUCUGGGCCGAUAUUGACGCUGAGGAGCGAAAGCGUGGGAGCGAACAGG